rnacentral:rRNA from 1 species
UGGGGAAUUUUGGACAAUGGGCGAAAGCCUGAUCCAGCAAUGCCGCGUGUGUGAAGAAGGCCUUCGGGUUGUAAAGCACUUUUGUCCGGAAAGAAAUCCUUGGCUCUAAUACAGUCGGGGGAUGACGGUACCGGAAGAAUAAGCACCGGCUAACUACGUGCCAGCAGCCGCGGUAAUACGUAGGGUGCAAGCGUUAAUCGGAAUUACUGGGCGUAAAGCGUGCGCAGGCGGUUUGCUAAGACCGAUGUGAAAUCCCCGGGCUCAACCUGGGAACUGCAUUGGUGACUGGCAGGCUAGAGUAUGGCAGAGGGGGGUAGAAUUCCACGUGUAGCAGUGAAAUGCGUAGAGAUGUGGAGGAAUACCGAUGGCGAAGGCAGCCCCCUGGGCCAAUACUGACGCUCAUGCACGAAAGCGUGGGGGAGCAAACAGGAUUAGAUACCCCUGGUAGUCCACGCCCUAAACGAUGUCAACUAGUUGUUGGGGAUUCAUUUCCUUAGUAACGUAGCUAACGCGUGAAGUUGACCGCCUGGGGAGUACGGUCGCAAGAUUAAAACUCAAAUGAAUUG